rnacentral:rRNA from 1 species
GAUGAACGCUGGCGGCGUGCCUAAUACAUGCAAGUCGAGCGAACAGACGAGGAGCUUGCUCCUCUGACGUUAGCGGCUGACGGGUGAGUAACACGUGGAUAACCUACCUAUAAGACUGGGAUAACUUCGGGAAACCGGAGCUAAUACCGGAUAAUAUAUUGAACCGCAUGAUUCAAUAGUUAAAGACAGUUUUGCUGUCACUUAUAGAUGGAUCCGCGCCGCAUUAGCUAGUUGGUAAGGUAACGGCUUACCAAGGCGACGAUGCGUAGCCGACCUGAGAGGGUGAUCGGCCACACUGGAACUGAGACACGGUCCAGACUCCUACGGGAGGCAGCAGUAGGGAAUCUUCCGCAAUGGGCGCAAGCCUGACGGAGCAACGCCGCGUGAGUGAUGAAGGUCUUCGGAUCGUAAAACUCUGUUAUUAGGGAAGAACAAAUGUGUAAGUAACUAUGCACGUCUUGACGGUACCUAAUCAGAAAGCAACGGCUAACUACGUG